GAUUUCUGGCUUGGCGCUCUUGGCCCGCCACGGUUACGUGUGUGAGUGCUGGGUAGCGCCUGCCAUCCUUCUAGGCAGCAUGUCUGCUCUUUAUUGAGUGGCUAUGUCGCCUAGAUCUUUUACUUUGAAAAAAUUAGAGUGUUUAAAGCAGGCUUUUGCUAUGAAUACAUUAGCAUGGAAUAAUAAUUUAGGACUUCGGUUCUAUUUUGUUGGUUUCUAGGACUGAAGUAAUGAUUGAUAGGGACAGUUGGGGGUGCUAGUAUUCCGCGGCCAGAGGUGAAAUUCUUGGAUUCGCGGAAGACUAACUACUGCGAAAGCAUU
rnacentral:rRNA from 1 species